rnacentral:rRNA from 1 species
AUAAGUGCAUCAGGCGGAUGCCUUGGCGAUGAUAGGCGACGAAGGACGUGUAAGCCUGCGAAAAGCGCGGGGGAGCUGGCAAUAAAGCUAUGAUUCCGCGAUGUCCGAAUGGGGAAACCCACUGCAUUCUGUGCAGUAUCCUAAGUUGAAUACAUAGGCUUAGAGAAGCGAACCCGGAGAACUGAACCAUCUAAGUACCCGGAGGAAAAGAAAUCAACCGAGAUUCCGCAAGUAGUGGCGAGCGAACGCGGAGGAGCCUGUACGUAAUAACUGUCGAGAUAGAAGAACAAGCUGGGAAGCUUGACCAUAGCGGGUGACAGUCCCGUAUUCGAAAUCUCAACAGCGGUACUAAGCGUACGAAAAGUAGGGCGGGACACGUGAAAUCCUGUCUGAAUAUGGGGGGACCAUCCUCCAAGGCUAAAUACUCAUCAUCGACCGAUAGUGAACCAGUACCGUGAGGGAAAGGCGAAAAGAACCCCGGGAGGGGAGUGAAACAGAACCUGAAACCUGAUGCAUACAAACAGUGGGAGCGCCCUAGUGGUGUGACUGCGUACCUUUUGUAUAAUGGGUCAACGACUUACAUUCAGUAGCGAGCUUAACCGGAUAGGGGAGGCGUAGGGAAACCGAGUCUUAAUAGGGCGAUGAGUUGCUGGGUGUAGACCCGAAACCGAGUGAUCUAUCCAUGGCCAGGUUGAAGGUGCCGUAACAGGUACUGGAGGACCGAACCCACGCAUGUUGCAAAAUGCGGGGAUGAGCUGUGGGUAGGGGUGAAAGGCUAAACAAACUCGGAGAUAGCUGGUUCUCCCCGAAAACUAUUUAGGUAGUGCCUCGAGCAAGACACUGAUGGGGGUAAAGCACUGUUAUGGCUAGGGGGUUAUUGCAACUUACCAACCCAUGGCAAACUCAGAAUACCAUCAAGUGGUUCCUCGGGAGACAGACAGCGGGUGCUAACGUCCGUUGUCAAGAGGGAAACAACCCAGACCGCCGGCUAAGGUCCCAAAUGAUAGAUUAAGUGGUAAACGAAGUGGGAAGGCACAGACAGCCAGGAUGUUGGCUUAGAAGCAGCCAUCAUUUAAAGAAAGCGUAAUAGCUCACUGGUCGAGUCGUCCUGCGCGGAAGAUGUAACGGGGCUCAAAUCUAUAACCGAAGCUGCGGAUGCCGGUUUACCGGCAUGGUAGGGGAGCGUUCUGUAGGCUGAUGAAGGUGCAUUGUAAAGUGUGCUGGAGGUAUCAGAAGUGCGAAUGUUGACAUGAGUAGCGAUAAAGCGGGUGAAAAGCCCGCUCGCCGAAAGCCCAAGGUUUCCUACGCAACGUUCAUCGGCGUAGGGUAAGUCGGCCCCUAAGGCGAGGCAGAAAUGCGUAGUCGAUGGGAAACAGGUUAAUAUUCCUGUACUUGAUUCAAAUGCGAUGUGGGGACGGAGAAGGUUAGGUUGGCAAGCUGUUGGAAUAGCUUGUUUAAGCCGGUAGGUGGAAGACUUAGGCAAAUCCGGGUUUUCUUAACACCGAGAAGUGAUGACGAGUGUCUACGGACACGAAGCAACCGAUACCACGCUUCCAGGAAAAGCCACUAAGCUUCAGUUUGAAUCGAACCGUACCGCAAACCGACACAGGUGGGCAGGAUGAGAAUUCUAAGGCGCUUGAGAGAACUCGGGAGAAGGAACUCGGCAAAUUGAUACCGUAACUUCGGGAGAAGGUAUGCCCUCUAAGGUUAAGGACUUGCUCCGUAAGCCCCGGAGGGUCGCAGAGAAUAGGUGGCUGCGACUGUUUAUUAAAAACACAGCACUCUGCCAACACGAAAGUGGACGUAUAGGGUGUGACGCCUGCCCGGUGCCGGAAGGUUAAUUGAAGAUGUGCAAGCAUCGGAUCGAAGCCCCGGUAAACGGCGGCCGUAACUAUAACGGUCCUAAGGUAGCGAAAUUCCUUGUCGGGUAAGUUCCGACCCGCACGAAUGGCGUAACGAUGGCCACACUGUCUCCUCCCGAGACUCAGCGAAGUUGAAGUGGUUGUGAAGAUGCAAUCUACCCGCUGCUAGACGGAAAGACCCCGUGAACCUUUACUGUAGCUUUGCAUUGGACUUUGAAGUCACUUGUGUAGGAUAGGUGGGAGGCUUGGAAGCAGAGACGCCAGUCUCUGUGGAGUCGUCCUUGAAAUACCACCCUGGUGUCUUUGAGGUUCUAACCCAGACCCGUCAUCCGGGUCGGGGACCGUGCAUGGUAGGCAGUUUGACUGGGGCGGUCUCCUCCCAAAGCGUAACGGAGGAGUUCGAAGGUUACCUAGGUCCGGUCGGAAAUCGGACUGAUAGUGCAAUGGCAAAAGGUAGCUUAACUGCGAGACCGACAAGUCGGGCAGGUGCGAAAGCAGGACAUAGUGAUCCGGUGGUUCUGUAUGGAAGGGCCAUCGCUCAACGGAUAAAAGGUACUCCGGGGAUAACAGGCUGAUUCCGCCCAAGAGUUCAUAUCGACGGCGGAGUUUGGCACCUCGAUGUCGGCUCAUCACAUCCUGGGGCUGUAGUCGGUCCCAAGGGUAUGGCUGUUCGCCAUUUAAAGUGGUACGUGAGCUGGGUUUAAAACGUCGUGAGACAGUUUGGUCCCUAUCUGCAGUGGGCGUUGGAAGUUUGACGGGGGCUGCUCCUAGUACGAGAGGACCGGAGUGGACGAACCUCUGGUGUACCGGUUGUAACGCCAGUUGCAUAGCCGGGUAGCUAAGUUCGGAAGAGAUAAGCGCUGAAAGCAUCUAAGCGCGAAACUCGCCUGAAGAUGAGACUUCCCUUGCGGUUUAACCGCACUAAAGGGUCGUUCGAGACCAGGACGUUGAUAGGUGGGGUGUGGAAGCGCGGUAACGCGUGAAGCUAACCCAUACUAAUUGCCCGUGAGGCUUGACU